GUGUUUUAUGAAAGGAGAGAAGGUUGGCACUCCCCUUAAUAAGGAUGGAAGAGGCUUUGGCCUGUAACACUCAUACUAUUAAGGCACAGACACAUACUUCGUGGCAUCCGACCAAUGUUUUAG